rnacentral:tRNA from 1 species
GCCUUCGUGGUGUAACGGUUAGCACACUCGGCGAGUAUUCGAGAGGUCCAGGUUCGAAUCUCGGCGAGGGCA